GGUCGUCUGCAGCACAUUUGAUCUGAUAUGUUGCCAAAAACCUGCAUACAUCCAUAUCAGCUCAUGUACAGGAGCUAAAACUUGCAGCUUUACACAUGAAUAAUUCACCUCCUUUGAGAAAGAGUUUACUUCACACCGUUAUUAAAUUAUAUAAAGCACUGAUGCAGAAUAGCUGUGAUUUGCACCCACUGAUCACAUAAUCCAUCUAUAACAGCAAUUCUUGGACAUCCAAAAAUACUCAUGCUUUCAGCUAUUUUAUAAAGCAAUCAAUAAUGGCUGAUUGCAUGCUUGUAGUCUACUGUUUAAGCCUGGAUCGUUAGAUCUUGUCCUUUAGCUAUUCAAGAGAUUGUUAAUUUCUUUCUCUCCUCCAUUAUAGACUUUGUGACCUUCAGUCUUUUUUGCCCUGCAGUGAAUCAUCUGCUUUUGACCAGAGUCAAAGUUCCUUUUUCCUCUUCACUGUCUGAGGGUGAUAAGCAGAAUUAAAGCAGUGGACAGGGUCAGGAUUUGAUAGCACUACAGCCCUGCAGGGAAAUAAUGUGCACACAUGGACAAACAUCGAGGUGGGAGACUAUGGUCGUAUCUCUUUCUAACUGUGGCAGCAACUCUUGAUGGCCUGGACACAACGAGAAAAGCCACACUAGUGCACUCGGCUCUGACUCUGUGUAUCCCAACAUGCCGAAGGUGCAAUCCCCAAUGAGUGACAUCAUUAAUUAUGUGCCUCUGACUUCAGAAAUGCCAGCUGAGGAGGGAGGCAUACAUUUCAUCCGCAGACUGUUCAAAAAAAUUGUCUUUCAAGCCGGGCUGACAGCAUGCAUUCCAAUCACGAGCUCACCCAGGUCUGAAAUUGCGGAUAGUUCACCAGCUGUGAGGCGCUGGGAUCUCACUGCACAGUGGAUGAUUGUGAUGGCACAUCCAGAACAUUCCAUCUGUGGUCGAGCUUUAUUUGAGAUAGACAGUCUCAUGUGGACACAAUCACACCUCUAACGGUUUGCCAGUAAGGUUAAGAGUGGAGCUUUUGGUUGCAAACAGGCUAAUGUAAGUGAAUAUUAUAUAAGAUUAUAUAACAUUUUUAUCUUCCUUGUGCUUCUACUUCACUUGAUUGCUUGCUGAAUGUUGUUUUUAGUAGUUUGACAUGUACUUUUAUUGCAUUUACAAUUCAGUUAUGUUUCAAUUACACAAGGAAUAUGAAAAGUUAAAUUUAAUGUUAAAGAAUUUUAACAUUAAAGAGUUAACCUAAAGAUUUGAUGUGAUAUAUUCCAGUUUAUCAACAAAGGAUCCUUCAUUUCUUCACACUGCAUGUUAUUUGGAAAUGUCAGUUUGUGAUGCUGGGGUUGACUUGAGUUCAUUUGUGAUUAAGGGCUGCUUGUUUAAAAGAAAUG